CAGAAGGUAUGAGGACUAAGGACC
rnacentral:piRNA from 1 species